ACAACCCUCCCUGUUCACCAACCUGAGGAAAUACAAGUAAUAUUGUUGGAAGGCAGCAGGCACCAGACAUCCAUUUGUGUGGGGGAAAAUGUAUCACAAAAGCGUUUCCUGGUCCAGAAAGUAAACCAUUGAACUUGAUCCGACUGAUUUCCUGCAUGCUUUUUAUUUCACUCUCAAGUAAUGGCUUUGACUGGGCCCCACAACGAUUCCACCUUUCCAUCCGAAUACGACAUCUUCAGAUUCUCUCAGUUUCCCAAGUCAAAAGGGCAGAACUUCCUGUCUGAAUUUUAAAGCCUCUGUUGCCUUGAUUUUGUUCCUGACUCAAUGGAGAUGAAUUCCGAGUUGAAGACAAACAAUUGUGCCUUGUGAACAGUCGCCACGUCGAAAAGACUCAAGAGUACUUUUGCGGAAACCUGUCUCAGGAAAAAUUCCCAGUGUGGGAGGGAAGGAGGGUGAACUCCAUCCUGGAAGGAGGAAUUCCAGUUGCUCUGAAAAUGUAAUUUUCUAAGUAAAUUCAUUAAAGUUGAAAUGUCUAAUAAGAAAGGGGAAGCAAAGUUGGUUGCAAAGGGAGAAAUUGCAUACUGCAAAGCCACAAAUUCCUAAGCAGCAAAAUUUCUUUCUUUUUUUAAUUUUUUCCAGAGACUAGCUUGAGUGCAAUGGUGCAAUCAUAGCUCACUGCAGCCUUGAACUCCUAUACUCAAGUGAUUCUCCCACCUCACCCUGCCUAGUAGCUGUGGCUAUAGAUGUGAGCCACCACACCCGGCUUAAAAUUUCUUGGUACUAGAAAAAUUGCUCUCAUACUGGCAAUUUCACCCAGGAUCAUUGAUCUCUUCUGAAUGGUGAAAAUUGACACCGAAGAGCUUUCUGUGUAAAUUGCUGCACAGGGUAUGCAGGUAUACUGCAUGCCCAGCCUUGUGCUUCUUGCCUGGUUGCAAAACCACUUGUAUUUCCACCCUCUUGAUUCCUAAAUUACUACACAAAAACAGAGUUCCUGAGUCUAGGAAGGGGGGAAAAAUCCCCUGAAAUUCUGUUCUCAGGGUAGAGUUUACCUCUCCUAAUAUAAAGAUUGACACUCAGUAAGAAACAUUCAAAGUAGCAGUCAUGUUGGGACCAGCCUUUGUGAUUGUUUUGCCAGCUCUGCAGAAAUUAUUUUUUAGGAAGAGUGAUGCUCUCUUCUUCGUUCCUGCCCACAACAGCCACAAAAUACAAUAUUCAUUAUCAACAACAAAUAUUUAUUGCCUAUUGUGUGCCAUCCACUUGUGCUAGCCACUGGUGUUUUUAUUUUUUUUUAAAGUGAAAGUGAUUUGAAAUGAAUUUUCUUCCCGAUAUUUGAAGUCCUCUAGAAAUAUUAUAAGUUCAAAAUUAGAUGUCAUUGUCCCAGGAUGAGAUUUCUUUUGAAUAUGAUAAAUACUUCUUAAAGUAAAAAUGUUUUAAGGAUCCCUCUCCACAAUAUUUUUUUUAGAAUCCUCUGAUAAAAUAUUUAUUUAUGUAAUGUCUUCUGGAUUAUGGUAAAAAAAAUUGUUUUUAAUAUAUUUAAUUCAGUCAACAAAUAUUUGAAGGGUACACUAUGUAUCAGGCACUAAUCUGUAUGCUGAAUAAUUCAGUGGUAAGCACUAAUAAUUAUAGUCAUAGAUAUUGAGAGCAUUUCAUGUACUCAUUGUAUUAAACAUUAUGUUAAGG
rnacentral:lncRNA from 10 species